rnacentral:rRNA from 1 species
UCGGGAAUUUUGGGCAAUGGGGGAAACCCUGACCCAGCAACGCCGCGUGAAGGAUGAAGUAUUUCGGUAUGUAAACUUCGAAAGAAUAGGAAGAAUAAAUGACGGUACUAUUUAUAAGGUCCGGCUAACUACGUGCCAGCAGCCGCGGUAAUACGUAGGGACCAAGCGUUGUUCGGAUUUACUGGGCGUAAAGGGCGCGUAGGCGGCAUGACAAGUCACUUGUGAAAUCUCUGGGCUUAACCCAGAACGGCCAAGUGAUACUGUCGCGCUAGAGUGCAGAAGGGGCAAUCGGAAUUCUUGGUGUAGCGGUGAAAUGCGUAGAUAUCAAGAGGAACACCUGAGGUGAAGACGGGUUGCUGGGCUGACACUGACGCUGAGGCGCGAAAGCGUGGGGAGCAAACGGGAUUAGAUACCCCUGUAGUCCCUGAGCGGGCUGGCAAGGCGCAU